UCUGAAGUUGCAAAUGCAGGCGUUUUUCAGUUGAACGUAUAAAAAGAUGCUGAAAAGGUCAACUACUAGUCCACAUUACACCAACAGGUUUUCGACAUCCGGCAUGUGAAACCGGGGCGAAGUUAGAGCGUCUCCGGAAGUCUUUCACACCAUUCGCCUCCUUCCUCUUCGUUUUGAUGUAUAAAGAGUUCACAGUAGCAGUGAUGGUGUACGAUGGUAGAUCGUGGUUCACGAACGCGGUUCAAAUCGGCACCGGCAAACAGAUCGUGAAGAUCCAGCAACGAUGGUGGUGUAGCAACAACAUUAGGUCCCGUACCAAAUCUUAACACCACCGUUGCCGCUCGUCAUAGCAACUUGAAUCUUGCUCGAGACUCCCUUCGUCGGGCAGCAGUCGAAGAAGGGAUAGUGCGCAACUCUUUUUAUUAAGAUCUGAGACUAUUAGCAUAUAUAACUUUUGUAUUCUUGGAAUAUAUUUGUAUUUAUUGUAAUAGCCAUAUUAAUGGAACAAAUCUUUGAAAUUGAUUGGUUUGCCAAAGUUGUAGGCAAUCAAUCCUCCUAUCUGUAUAUAUUCGAUAGUGGAAUACAGAAAGCAACAAGCAAAAAUUAUCUCAUCUAUCAUGGUAUCAAGCCAUAAAGCUCCACUGAGCAUUUUUUUCCGAUCCCUCUGAAGCUUUCUUUUUUUUUUCUUUUCUCAUCCAACAUUAUCAUUACCUUGCAAUCCGUUGCUUCACUUCUUCGUGACCUUCCCCUGUUCAUUUUUUUUUCACCAACAACCUUCUUAUUACCCCAUGGAUCCUAAAACACAUCCCGCAAUCACCGUUACCAACAUCAAAAACUUCAUUCCGAUCACUCUCGAAAUCGAAUCCAGCCAAUAUGCUUCGUGGGCGGAAUUAUUCAAAAUCCAUUGCCGCGCCUUUCAAGUGCUAAACCACCUUUCCCUGAAACCCGAGUGCACGUCCACACCUCAACCCGCUGCUACAGAAGGCGCCAAACCCGACGCCUCAUCCGACCCUGAUGAAACUUGGAGUCGCCUUGAUGCCAUAGUCCUUCAAUGGAUCUAUGGCACCAUAUCAAAUGACUUACUAAGCACCAUUAUCCGUCCUGAUUCCACAGCCUGUUACGCUUGGGCGGCACUCAAAAGCCUCUUUCAUGACAAUGAAGCCACUCGUGUCGUUUUACUGCAGAAAAAGUUUACAAACCUUAAACUCGACUCCUUUCAAUCCAUGGCUGCCUAUUGUCAAGAAACAAAGGUUAUAUCCGAUCAAUUAGCAAACGUUGGUGCCCCUGUAACCGAAAAAAACCUGGUCAUCCAACUCCUUUCAGGUCUGAAUGAAGCUUACGGUGGGACUGCCUCCAUUCUCCAGAAUACCAAACCCUUUCCCACCUUCUAUGAAGCCCGAUCUGCGUUAACUCUUGAAGAAACCACCAAAGCCAACCAUGCCUCUUCCGAAUCGGCCCUUCAUACCACAACAACACCUCCAACCGGAUCUGCUCCACCCUAAACCCCACCCUCUUACAGUAACAACAACCGCGGCGGUGGCCGUUAUCGGGGCCGAGGAAAAACCCGAGGCCGCGGGCGUGGCCAAACGAGUUUCACCAAUCCCAACCAAGGAUGGUCUCCUUCACACUUUGGUAGCACUCCUUUUCCAUCUGGUUAUGGGGUAGGUCAGUGGACUACAAGACCACAAGCAUGGGCUCCUACUCAAUAUUGGGCCAUACCACCUUGUCCUUAUCCUACAGGCCCAUCUACCCAAAGUCCAAAACCUAACCAACGGCCUGGUAUACUCGGCCCACGACCCCAGCAGGCCCACGCAAAUUCUGACCAACUUUACACUGCUACUGCAUUGGACCAGGCGUUCAACACAAUGAGUCUGCACCCGCCAGAUAAUCAAUGGUACAUGGACACCGUGGCUACAGGUAAUAUGACUCGCAACUCGUACAAUCUUAAUUCUUAUUUAAAUAAGGUUUUUGCACGAAAUAUUAUCGUCGGAAAUGGCAAUAAAAUUCCAGUCCAUGCCAUAGGUAACCAUACCUUACCAUUCCCAUACCCACCAUUUAAAAUUAAUAAUACCCUUUUUGCACCUCAACUUGUCAAAAAUCUUAUUUCUGUUCGUCCAUUCCCAAACGACCGACGUGGCUCCAUACCCUGAAAAAUUGUAUGGAGCGUUGUCUUUUUGUUUUUUUUUUUUGUUUUUUUGUUUUCAGAGGGAUUUCCCGGUUGGAGUGGUGAGAUUUCAUCUCCCCCUCCCCCGAACCCCCUCCCCCUCUUUUAAGGGCGAGUCCUUACUCAAUUCGUAAACGAAUUGCGGACUCAAGGCUAGGCUUUCUCUAUGACUUUUCCUCUUUAGCCGGCUUUCAGGCAUGAGGGCUUGAUUACCUCUUUUUGGGAUACAAGCAAGCCCUCUGUUUCAGCCGGCUUUAAUACAAAGUCACUAGAGGUUAGCCGCCCGGAGAAUGAAGAUCACCCGAACUUCAUUCCCCUGGCUACAACCGGCAGGGAGAGAGAGAUGAAAUCUCUAAACCUUUACCUGCUGUUGUUAGCCGCCUGGCGAAGAAGCCUUUCGGGGCUUCCCUCGCCUGGCUACACCUUCCCUUCUUCCCCUGAAGGCAUAAAAACAAAAUAACAAAAAAAAAAAGACAACGCUCUAUACCUUCAGGGGAGGUGAACAGAGUGAGUGCAGGCCCUCGCUCAACGAGAGCAUGGUUUUGUGGUCCGGGUUCGGUAUUUCGUUAUGAUGUAACUCCUUUCUUAUUGAUGAUUUACGGCCUUUUAAAGCAGUUGUUCACUGGUCUCAAAUGGUACCCUAUAUUGAUCUUGAAAGAAACCAUUCUGUCUUAAGUCAAGAUGGUCAUAGAAUUCUUUUGUUCCCUCAACAAGCAACUAAUCACAAGGAAAGAAAACACAAAAGACUCUUAACGGAUUUCUUUCCAAUUAAGAAGUGACGGUGGUCUUUCAAGAUUAACUAAAGUCCAUCACACCACCCUUUUAGCCGCCAUCCACCAUCGCCCUCACCCAUCGGCAUUAACAUAACCACCGUCCACCACCACCUUCGCCGCCUCUUCCCGGCUUUCUCUCUCUUCCAAUCAGACGACAACGGAUUGUGCGUCGUUUUCAAAACCGGCGAUUUUAAAUGUAGGGCGACAAGGACCUAGGGCAAGGAGAAUUCUGUAAUUUACUGUUUGAAAACGGGGUAAUAUUGUACAUUCACGUGCACUGUUUCACUGACAUUCUUCUUUAAGAAUAUAUAAAUGCUUAAUAUUUAAUGUUUAGUAUGUAAUAUUUUAAUAUUUUAAUGUUUUAAUUUUUCAUGUUUAUUUUUUAAUGUUCAACUUAAAUAAAAUAACAUUAACAUUAAACAUACUUGACAUUACACAAAAAUACUAAUACUAAAAUACUACAACUAAAACUAAAUCACUAAUACUAACUACAAUUGAUCAUCUAUUAUAAGCUUCCAAAUUUCAAGCUUCGUAAACGGUCUUUCAUUAACUCGUUCAUGCUCGGCCAUUGAUUCUUCAAUGACUUGCUUAUCGUCAUUUGCGUCUUCCAACCCUUCCAUUCGUCAGCGGUAAAUUUCAUGAAAUCUUCCUAUUGGUUGGGUCAUGCGUAUUAUCUUUGCUUUAAGACCAUUACUUGUAAGUUGUACGUUUGGUUUGAUAACCCAUUUCGGCAUUUCCUCGUCAAACCUCUCCUUAACCUGAGACCAAAAACCCCUCCUAAAUAUAAUACUUGGACCCACCGUUCGUAACUCUUCGGUCCUAUUGUGUACAAAAUCUAGACCCAACGCGUACGCCUCAUCGUCACUCCAAGCUUGUGACAUUUUCGUAAAUUGUUUGUUUUGCGGUUUUUUGGGUUCGUUUAUGUGUUUCCGAGUUGGGUAAGCAACCAAUACAUCCCAAGACUAUUGGUAAUAAUUUUUUUAUAACAAGAACUGGUUCCAACAGUCAAAAUAGUAAUAAAAAACGGUCAAAACACUAUUUUAACGUUAGGAACCGAUUUUAAAAUUUUUUACCGUUGAAACCGGUUCUUGCCCGGGUAAAUCCAGGUUGAGUUGGAACAAGUUACCGAUCUUGAAAAAAAUGUGGAACCAGGUAGGACCAAUAGAUUGGACCAGUUCCUCCAUUUAGCGGGUAGGAACCGGUUCUGGGUUGGAUAUGGAACCAACUUUUUUGUGCACAUCUACAAAAAACCAAUUUUGAAAACGACUCGGUCCCUGUUACAAACCAGUCCCCUUAAAAAUUGGUCUGGGAUUUUUCAAACCGGUUGGUUACGCAAACUAGCUUUGACCGUUAAAAUGUGCUAGUCAUUGAAAAUAUUUAUUAAAUCUUUUUUUUCUAACUAAUCACCCCCCCCCCCCCUCUAAAGUUAGUAUAAAUAGAUUUUUUUUAUGUUUUAGAUUGAUCAUAACACUCAAAAACGCAAAAAUAAACUCGAAAAAAGCAAAAACCCGCUCUUGUACACACUCGAUUUUGAAUAUCUUUGCUUAUUUGAUUAUGGCUUCACAUAGUGCUCAAUCAAAAGCAUUAGUUGGUGUCGCUUCCUCAAACGAGCCAAACCGUUACGAGUGUUUUAGAAACGACUCCAAACCCGUAAUUUUUCGGGCAAGUACGUGGGUGGUUCAACAUAUGUCUAAUGUCGAAUGUCUCUUAAAAGGCUCGUUGUAUAAUGUGUGGAAGUUUUCUUCAACCAAACUCAAGCUCAACUUUGAUAAAUCAUAUGACGAAAUAUUACCGAGCGAACUGUGACAACAUUAAAAGUAGUAAAACAUCAAUCGACCAUCAAUGUGGCACUUUUAUGAUUUUAACAAGGUUUAAGAUCAAAUGGCAAAGUUCGUAAUUCAAGAAGGUUUGCCAUUCGACCCCUUCAACAACCCUCGCUUGACAAAGAUGAUUUGAGCCACGUUCCAACCUUGUUACAAACACAAUCAUACCUUUGUGUCACCACUCAAUGGUAGACCCUAAUACGUGGCAAUGAUGAAACGUGCAAUUGUGCAUAUUUUAAACGAUCACCUGGACGCAAUGGAUCGUGUACAACACCAAACAACUCUCAAAGAAUCAACGGAAGUUGAAGAACAUAUACAGGAAGAAGAGGUGCAAGAGAGACUAGGCGAUCCCCUAUCUAACAAAGAACUCUCCUACAAUGCAUCGAUUCUCAUGAAAAAUAGUUCGGACGAAGAAUAACACGAAAAAUAAAUUUAUGUUUUUUGAUUUAAUAAUUGUAAUUCUUAUAAGUCUAUUUUUUGGUAUUUCAUUAUUGUAUUUUCUUGUUUCGAGAAUUAUAAAUGUUAAUAAAGUUGAAUUUUAUGUA